AAGUGUCUUGGGAAACUGCCUCGGUAAAACGGGGGAGGAAGUGGGGAUGACGUCUGGUCCGCAUAGCCCUUAUGUCCUGGGCUACACACGCGCUACAAUGGUCGGCACAAUGGGAAGCCAAAUCGUAAGAUGGAGCUAAUCCUCUAAAACCGAUCUCAGUUCGGAUUGUGGGCUGAAACUCGCCCACAUGAAGUUGGAUUUGCUAGUAAUCGUGGAUCAGCCAUGCCACGGUGAAUACGUUCUCGGGCCUU
rnacentral:rRNA from 1 species